GACGAACGCUGGCGGCGUGCUUAACACAUGCAAGUCGAACGGAAAGGCCUUUUCGGAGGUACUCGAGUGGCGAACGGGUGAGUAACACGUGGGUGAUCUGCCCUGCACUCUGGGAUAAGCCUGGGAAACUGGGUCUAAUACCGGAUAGGACCGCACUUUAGUGUGUGUGGUGGAAAGUUUUUUCGGUGUAGGAUGAGCCCGCGGCCUAUCAGCUUGUUGGUGGGGUAAUGGCCUACCAAGGCGGCGACGGGUAGCCGGACUGAGAGGUUGGUCGGCCACAUUGGGACUGAGAUACGGCUCAGACUCCUACGGGAGGCAGCAGUGGGGAAUAUUGCACAAUGGGCGCAAGCCUGAUGCAGCGACGCCGCGUGGGGGAUGACGGCCUUCGGGUUGUAAACUCCUUUCGCCAGGGACGAAGCGUUUUGUGACGGUACCUGGAGAAGAAGCACCGGCUAACUACGUG
rnacentral:rRNA from 1 species